rnacentral:rRNA from 1 species
AGAUGAAUCAAAGAAGGUAAUAAUCCUGUAGUCGAAAACAUAUUCUCUCUUGAGUGGAUCCUGAGUACGACGGAGCACGUGAAAUUCCGUCGGAAUCUAGGAGGACCAUCUCCUAAGGCUAAAUACUUUCUAGUGACCGAUAGUGAACCAGUACCGUGAGGGAAAGGUGAAAAGUACCCCGGAAGGGGAGUGAAAGAGAACUUGAAACCGUGUGCUUACAAGUAGUCAGAGCCCGUU